UAAGGAAGAACCCUAAUGGAAACGCUCGCUCCCUCAUCUUCGGAUGAAAUGACGAGCCUCUGCCUUUCGGUUCUCUUGGAACAAGACGGAAGAGAGUCACUCUUACCGUCGUGCAUACCUUAAGCGGGUCUGCCGCCUUCGUUUCUCUUUCUUCGCGAAUGACUUUGACUUGCGCUCGCGCGCCGCAUCGCACCCCAUGGGUGCUGGCGCUCCGCGAGGGCGCGGCACAAGCCGCGACGGCCAGUUGGCCUUGCGAGACUUGCGUCUCGUUGGCGGUAGCCGAUCUACGGCGCGGUCUUAGGGCUUGUAGCUCAGUUGGUUAGAGCGCGCGCUUGAUAAGCGUGAGGUCGGAGGUUCAAGUCCUCCCAGGCCCACCAUUUCCUCGACAAAAGGUAUCAGGGGCCGUAGCUCAGCUGGGAGAGCGCCUGCUUUGCAAGCAGGAUGUCGUCGGUUCGAUCCCGUCCGGCUCCACCCAUCUUUUCUUCCCUGGGAAGAAAGGGUGUCGAGUAGAGAUGAAAAACCGGUUGGCUGGUCAUUCGUAUAAAGGUUUGCGGCGAGCUUAAAGCUCUCCGCCUGUUCUGUAUGACAUCGUAAAGAGAAGAUUUGUUCGAACUUCAUGAUCCGAAAGGCUCAUGAUUUGUCGCGGGAGACGCUCAAUCUCCCGCAUAUGAUGGGUUUGCCUAACCGCACCCUCGAACCGAUCUCGAGAAGCUGGUCUUUUUGUGCCAAUUCCAUUGAAGCCAGAUCCCGCACAGGAUCUGGUUCGAGCGACGAUCUCUUCGAGAUCGCGCGGUGGGCAUUGGCAAUGAGAACGAUCAAGUGUCUUAAGGGCAAUUGGUGGAUGCCUUGGCAUGCACAGGCGAUGAAGGACGUGAAACGCUGCGAUAAGCUACGGGAGGUGCGAAUACCCUUUGAUCGU
rnacentral:misc_RNA from 1 species